AUUGAACGCUGGCGGCAUGCCUUACACAUGCAAGUCGAACGGCAGCACGGGUGCUUGCACCUGGUGGCGAGUGGCGAACGGGUGAGUAAUACAUCGGAACAUGUCCUGUAGUGGGGGAUAGCCCGGCGAAAGCCGGAUUAAUACCGCAUACGAUCUACGGAUGAAAGCGGGGGACCUUCGGGCCUCGCGCUAUAGGGUUGGCCGAUGGCUGAUUAGCUAGUUGGUGGGGUAAAGGCCUACCAAGGCGACGAUCAGUAGCUGGUCUGAGAGGACGACCAGCCACACUGGAACUGAGACACGGCCCAGACUCCUACGGGAGGCAGCAGUGGGGAAUUUUGGACAAAGGGCGAAAGCCUGAUCCAGCAAUGCCGCGUGUGUGAAGAAGGCCUUCGGGUUGUAAAGCACUUUUGUCCGGAAAGAAAUCCUGGGCCCUAAUACGGUCGGGGGAUGACGGUACCGGAAGAAUAAGCACCGGCUAACUACGUG
rnacentral:rRNA from 1 species